GCCUGCAUAUGCAUGAAGAAUUCCAGUUCAUCCAUGACAAGUUUCUUGUACCUUUUCCUUUCCCACUUGGGGAGUCUUUCUACUGCAACAUAACAAGUUGGCUACAAAAAGUUCUCUGAUAAUUUAGCUUCACAAUGACCAUGCAAACUUUCUUCUUUUUUCCAUCAGGAGUGAACUGCCUUAUGGGCCUAAAAAUUGCAGUAUGUUUUUU
rnacentral:misc_RNA from 1 species